rnacentral:rRNA from 1 species
AACCUCCGCAAUGUGAGAAAUCGCGACGGGGGGAUCCCAAGUGCCAUUCUUAACGGGAUGGCUUUUCAUUAGUGUAAAGAGCUUUUGGAAUAAGAGCUGGGCAAGACCGGUGCCAGCCGCCGCGGUAACACCGGCAGCUCUAGUGGUAGCAGUUUUUAUUGGGCCUAAAGCGUCCGUAGCCGGUUUAAUAAGUCUCUGGUGAAAUCCUGUAGCUUAACUGUGGGAAUUGCUGGAGAUACUAUUAGACUUGAGACCGGGAGAGGUUAGAGGUACUCCCAGGGUAGAGGUGAAAUUCUGUAAUCCUGGGAGGACCGCCUGUUGCGAAGGCGUCUAACUGGAACGGUUCUGACGGUGAGGGACGAAAGUUAGGGGCGCGAACCGGAUUAGAUACCCGGGUAGUCCUAACUGUAAACGAUGCGGACUUGGUGUUGGGGUGGCUUUGAGCUGCUCCAGUGCCGAAGGGAAGCUGUUAAGUCCGCCGCCUGGGAAGUACGGUCGCAAGACUGAAACUUAAAGGAAUU